rnacentral:rRNA from 1 species
CGGACGUGGGUAACCUGCCCUAUACACAUGGAUAACAUACUGAAAAGUUUACUAAUACAUGAUAAUAUAUAUUUACGGCAUCGUAGAUACAUCAAAGUGUUAGCGGUAUAGGAUGGACCCGCGUCUGAUUAGCUAGUUGGUGAGAUAACUGCCCACCAAGGCGACGAUCAGUAGCCGACCUGAGAGGGUGAUCGGCCACAUUGGAACUGAGACACGGUCCAA